AUUGAACGCUGGCGGAAUGCUUUACACAUGCAAGUCGAACGGCAGCACGGGAGCUUGCUCCUGGUGGCGAGUGGCGAACGGGUGAGUAAUGCGCCGGAACGUGCCGAGUAAUGGGGGAUAACGCAGCGAAAGUUGUGCUAAUACCGCAUACGCCCUGAGGGGGAAAGUGGGGGAUCGCAAGACCUCACGUUAUUCGAGCGGCCGACGUCUGAUUAGCUAGUUGGUGGGGUAAAGGCCUACCAAGGCGACGAUCAGUAGCGGGUCUGAGAGGAUGAUCAGCCACACCGGAACUGAGACACGGUCCGGACUCCUACGGGAGGCAGCAGUGGGGAAUAUUGGACAAUGGGCGAAAGCCUGAUGCAGCCAUGCCGCGUGUGUGAAGAAGGCUCUAGGGUUGUAAAGCACUUUCAGUAGGGAGGAAAGUCGAUAGUUAAUACCUAUCGGCCGUGACGUUACCUACAGAAGAAGCACCGGCUAACUCCGUGCCAGCAGCCGACGG
rnacentral:rRNA from 1 species